UAUUUGAAAGUUGCUAGUUUAACUGCCCCAUUAGAAUAUGUUUAUGGUAUAGUUUCCCUCCAUAUGUCCAUUUUGCAUAACAAAGUAAAUCAAACAUUGUCUAAAUAUUUAUAUCCCAAUAAAUACUUUAGUGUUGUAAUGAUUUAAUAUAAUAUCUGUUGAUGUAGAAAGUUGUCACGAGAUCAGAUCAAAUUGGAGUUGGACGGCAACGACAAUGUCCGAACGGUGAUGGU
rnacentral:lncRNA from 1 species